GACGAACGCUGGCGGCGUGCUUAACACAUGCAAGUCGAACGGUAAGGCCCUUCGGGGUACACGAGUGGCGAACGGGUGAGUAACACGUGGGUGAUCUGCCCUGCACAUCGGGAUAAGCCUGGGAAACUGGGUCUAAUACCGGAUAGGACCACUGCCUGCAUGGGUGGUGGUGGAAAGCUUUUGCGGUGUGGGAUGGGCCCGCGGCCUAUCAGCUUGUUGGUGGGGUGAUGGCCUACCAAGACGACGACGGGUAGCCGGCCUGAGAGGGUGACCGGCCACACUGGGACUGAGAUACGGCCCAGACUCCUACGGGAGGCAGCAGUGGGGGAUAUUGCACAAUGGGCGCAAGCCUGAUGCAGCGACGCCGCGUGAGGGAUGACGGCCUUCGGGUUGUAAACCUCUUUCAGCACCGACGAAGCGCAAGUGACGGUAGGUGCAGAAGAAGGACCGGCCAACUACGUGCCAGCCGCCGCCGUAA
rnacentral:rRNA from 1 species